UGAUGAUGAUGAUGAUGAUGAUGAUGAUGAUGAUGAUGAUGAUGAUGAUGACCAUUAUCAUCAUCAUCAUGAUCAUCAUCAUGAUCAUCAUCAUCA
rnacentral:pre_miRNA from 1 species